UUGGAUCAGAGAAUUGAGUGACAUUCUCAAGUGCACGUUGACACUCCGAAUGUUUCUGCCGGUAUCACAGAAGUUCAGAAGGUCUCAUGAAUGUCUUUCGAGCCUGGUAUUCUCUAGAGAUGUCUCCCUGCCGGUAUUCUCCUUUGUAGCGGAACAACUCUCAUCAAUAUGUUCGCAUCUCUCCUCAAUCCGUGCAGCCAGCUUUUCUGCCAGCUUCUCUUCGUGUCUCCCAUAAAGUCGACUUCAACAGGACUGGGCAAGACUGAAAGUACCUCGGAGCCUCACCAGUAAGCUGAUGAAAGGCAGUUCUUCCACUCUCUGCCCUUUCAGCUUCUGGAAACUUACCCGUGAACUUAGGUCUUUGGGCAGCAGCAUUAUCUCGAACUUACACAGCUUCCUGAUCAAAAGACCUAAGCCAAUCUCCACAUAGGGCGGCAGCUCCCCCAUCACACUGAUCCACCCACACAAUUCUGCCCACUUAACUUGGAUCCACCAACCACAACAAGCCUCAUGGUACACAUCAAUAUUCCACCUGGAAUCCAACCGGUUUUCUGAGGCUUCAUCCUGUCUUUCGAUAUAACAGACCAUCCUUCGGCAAGUUUCCUGUGCCAAGGGCUGGCAGUAUCUCGAACUUACACAGCUUCCCGAAAAAAAGACCUAAGACAAACUCCACAGAGGGCGGCAGCCCCUCCCUCACACUGAUCCAUCCACAGAAUUCUGCCCAGUUUCCUUGGAUCCACCAGCCACAACAAGCCUCGAGGUACCCAUCAGCUUUCCACCUGGAAUCCAACAGAAUCUCUCAUCUAUUGUAGUCUUCAGUGCCCAAGUUUGAUACUUCUUCCUCACCUCUAUUGGACGCUGAUUCAGAAAAGACACGACCUCCUGGAGAACCUCUGCUGCCACGGAGCUGACAUGGAACUGAGUCCUGAGGAGGCUUUAAAUACUUUUAAAAACAGGAUUAGUGUACUUUAAUUACUCCAUAGAUGAGUAAUGAAUGGGUCACAUUAACAUAGGAUUUUAAUCCUUUUAGAAUUAGUAGAGUAAUAAAGACACAUUACAAAAAAUUGAAAUAUUGCCUAAAAGAGAAGAGAUUUGUAAUUCCCACCCACAGAGGUGACCGUCAUGAAUGAUUUGUUGCUUAUGUCUCAGUCUCUGUGUCUCUCAGUAUGUCUCUUUCGAUCUCUGCCUCUCACACACUCACAAUCAGAUCAAUUUACAUCUAUAUUGAUUUCACACAUAUGUGGUAGUGCAGAUGGGACCCUGGAUGCAGACAGUGGGUCUGCAUACUUCCAUCCUGAGGCCUCCCUUGACAUUGGAUUGAGACCAGGCACCCACUUUUCCAACUGCACAGCAUUCAUUCAUUCACAUCAACCAGAACGAAUGGACCCCAUCCCCUCUCCAUCAACAUUAGUGUUGCCUUAAUUCCGACUGUUUCAACCAGUGCUGUGAUGAACACCCUUGAAAAGGCAUCUUUGAAUAGGUGUGUAAGGAUUUUAGUGGGAUGAACUGUAAGGAUCAGAAUUUCUGGGGAAGAGAUGCAUCUGUGGCCCUUUGAUGCAUCCUGCACCCUGUUCUCCUGAAGAGGAGCACCCCUUCACUCUUCCCUCCAGGGGAUCUGCUGGAGACUCUGCCUGCUUACAUUGUCGCCAGGGCUGGUUGUCACCUGACUAAAGACCCGCCAGUGUGAUGGUGACCAGUGCUGUCUCUGCAGUGUUUCCGUCUGCCUGAGUUCUCAGCUGAGAGGUCAAGCCUCUCUAACACACACUGGCCACCUGCAUUGCCUCUCAUUGGAACUGCCCAUUUCUGUUCUAUUUCUGUUUAGAACACUGGGUUUUGAAAGGUUUUUGGA